GCGUGAGUGGCGAAAUUGGUAGACGCGCAGGACUUAGGAUCCUGUGCCGCAAGGCGUGUGGGUUCGAGUCCCACCUCGCGCA
rnacentral:tRNA from 1 species